rnacentral:rRNA from 1 species
GUGGGGAAUAUUGGACAAUGGGCGAAAGCCUGAUCCAGCCAUGCCGCGUGUGUGAAGAAGGUCUUCGGAUUGUAAAGCACUGUAAGUUGGGAGGAAGGGCAGUAAGUUAAUACCUUGCUGUUUUGACGUUACCGACAGAAUAAGCACCGGCUAACUUCGUGCCAGCAGCCGCGGUAAUACGAAGGGUGCAAGCGUUAAUCGGAAUUACUGGGCGUAAAGCGCGCGUAGGUGGUUCAGCAAGUUGGAGGUGAAAUCCCCGGGCUCAACCUGGGAACUGCAUCCAAAACUACUGAGCUAGAGUACGGUAGAGGGUAGUGGAAUUUCCUGUGUAGCGGUGAAAUGCGUAGAUAUAGGAAGGAACACCAGUGGAGAAGGCGACUACCUGGACUGAUACUGACACUGAGGUGCGAAAGCGUGGGGAGCAAACAGGAUUAGAUACCCUUGUAGUCC